AGAUUGAACGCUGGCGGCAUGCCUUACACAUGCAAGUCGAACGGUAGAGUAGCAAUACUCGAGAGUGGCGAACGGGUGAGUAAUAUAUCGGAACGUGCCCAGUCGCGGGGGAUAACGUAGAGAAAUUUACGCUAAUACCGCAUACGAUCUC
rnacentral:rRNA from 1 species